AUUGAACGCUGGCGGUAUGCUUAACACAUGCAAGUCGAACGGUAGCAGGCCUUCGGGCGCUGACGAGUGGCGGACGGGUGAGUAAUGCAUAGGAAUCUGCCUUUUAGUGGGGGAUAACGUGGGGAAACUCACGCUAAUACCGCAUACGUCCUACGGGAGAAAGCGGGGGCUCUUCGGACCUCGCGCUAAAAGAUGAGCCUAUGUUGGAUUAGCUAGUUGGUAGGGUAAAGGCCUACCAAGGCGACGAUCCAUAGCUGGUCUGAGAGGAUGAUCAGCCACACUGGGACUGAGACACGGCCCAGACUCCUACGGGAGGCAGCAGUGGGGAAUAUUGGACAAUGGGCGAAAGCCUGAUCCAGCAAUACCGCGUGUGUGAAGAAGGCCUGAGGGUUGUAAAGCACUUUCAAUGGGAAGGAACACCUUUGGGCUAAUACCCUGAAGACUGACAUUACCCAUAGAAGAAGCACCGGCUAACUCCGUGCCAGCAGCCGCGGUAAUACGGAGGGUGCGAGCGUUAAUCGGAAUUACUGGGCGUAAAGAGUGCGUAGGCGGUUCGUUAAGUCAGAUGUGAAAGCCCUGGGCUCAACCUGGGAACUGCAUUUGAUACUGGCGAACUCGAGUUGAGUAGAGGAGAGUGGAAUUUCAGGUGUAGCGGUGAAAUGCGUAGAGAUCUGAAGGAACACCAGUGGCGAAGGCGGCUCUCUGGACUCAAACUGACGCUGAGGUACGAAAGCGUGGGUAGCAAACAGGAUUAGAUACCCUGGUAGUCCACGCCGUAAACGAUGUCAACUAACCGUUGGGUUCUUAAAGAACUUAGUGGUGGAGCUAACGUAUUAAGUUGACCGCCUGGGGAGUACGGCCGCAAGGCUAAAACUCAAAUGAAUUGACGGGGGCCCGCACAAGCGGUGGAGCAUGUGGUUUAAUUCGAUGCAACGCGAAGAACCUUACCUACCCUUGACAUCCAGAGAAU
rnacentral:rRNA from 1 species